rnacentral:lncRNA from 1 species
UGCAGCUUUCAACUCCUUGUGGGAAGGAAUGUGCUAGCUAAUGAGUUGGGAACUGGAGUGCAGGAAUGCUGGAACCUGAUGGCCACUUUGGCGCUGGCAGGGGCGAACUUCGCUCACUCAAAACCACUGCAUUCCACCCCUCACAGGAGGGAGCAUGCAGCCUUAGAGGAUGAAUGGACAAAAGAGCUUCAACUCCCAGUGUUGUUGGUACUGCAUGACUUUGGUGGACAACAGCCACAGACAGUGCCCAGACCAGUGGAAGCAAAGACACUCAAUGGGGACUCCCAAGAUUGGAACAGUGGAGUUGAGCUUCCACAAUCAACUCAGCAGCCAAGGUAAGAGAAAAUACUGUUUGAAAAUUUAAAAAAUAAAAACUCCAGUUGCCAAAGUUGCCUGUAGACACAUGGAUAUGCAGAAAACAGGUUUCCUUGGUGUUGCUUCAUGG